GGGUCACGUGCCGCAUCCCCUCCGCGCCUGUUCAUGUGUAAGGGUGGAGGGACCCGUGGCCAGAGCACCCUAAGGCCACCGCAACGCGAUCAGCCCCGCAAGACCGUCCAGCGGAGGCAGAGCGGCAGGAACUACAUUUCCCAUUCUGCUGUACGGCCUGGACUCCACCUCCCAGCAGCGCCCGCGGCGCCUCUCGAGGACUCCAUCUCCCAGAGUGCGCCGGGAGAGCCGCCCCGCCCCGCCCCCUCCCCCGGGCCGGCUGGAGACACCUCGCGCAGGAAGCAGCUCUGUGGUGCGAAGUCGGUGGUGCAGGGCUCAGGUGCAGCCAACAUGGGUGAGCCCCAGGGGUCCAUGCGGAUCCUAGUGACGGGGGGCUCUGGGCUUGUCGGCAGAGCCAUCCAGAAGGUAGUAGCAGAUGGAGCCAGGCUGCCUGGAGAGGACUGGGUGUUUGUCUCAUCCAAGGACGCUGAUCUCACGGACACUGCACAGACCCGAGCCCUGUUUGAAAAGGUCCAGCCCACACAUGUCAUCCAUCUUGCUGCAAUGGUGGGGGGCCUGUUCCAGAAUAUCAAAUACAAUUUGGACUUCUGGCGGAAAAACGUGCAGAUCAAUGACAACGUCCUACAAUCGGCUUUUGAGGUGGGCGUCCAAAAGGUGGUCUCCUGCCUUUCGACCUGCAUCUUCCCAGACAAGACCACCUACCCUAUCGAUGAGACCAUGAUCCACAAUGGGCCUCCACACAGCAGCAACUUUGGCUACUCCUACGCCAAGAGGAUGAUCGACGUGCAGAACAGGUCCUUGCGCCUGCCCUGCUGGGCCAGCCAGGAAUGGGGGAGGAGGGCCCCAGUGCCCACUGGGUCGAGAGUCCAGGCCUACUUCCAGCAGCACGGCUGCGCCUUCACUGCUGUCAUCCCCACCAACGUCUUUGGGCCCCACGACAACUUCAACAUCGAGGAUGGCCAUGUUCUGCCUGGCCUCAUCCACAAAGUGCACCUGGCCAAGAGCAGCGGCUCAGCCCUCACAGUGUGGGGCACGGGGAAGCCACGGAGGCAGUUCAUCUACUCACUGUGGGUGAGGAGGAUGAGGUCUCCAUCCAGGAAGCAGCUGAGGCUGUGGUAGAGGCCAUGGACUUCCAUGGGGAGAUCACUUUUGAUACAACCAAGUCCGAUGGACAGUUUAAGAAGACGGCCAGUAAUGGCAAGCUGCGAGCCUACCUGCCUGACUUUGAGUUCACUCCCUUCAAGCAGGCUGUGAAGGAAACCUGUGCCUGGUUCAGUGACAACUAUGAGCAGGCCCGGAAGUGAAGUGCAGUGGUGGAAGUGGGUGCCGGCCUCCCCCAAGGUCCCAGCUGCUGCUUAGCUGGCAGAGUCUAGUGCAACCACGCUCAGACCCUGCCGGGAGUAGUGAGCACAGCUCCGCAGCCUGAGCCCGUGUUCCACCCCCUCCACCAGGGUGGCUCUGGGCAGCUGUCCAGCAGGGCCACCAUUCUUGUGUGUCCUCAGGGAAUCCACAGCCUGGCCAGGCCCGGCACCUUAUUCUCCCAGUGCCAGUCCCCAGGUCUUGCAUGUGUGCACUGCUGACCUGCUCUCCCAAUUCCCAGGAGCCAAUAAAGUCCAUUUACACAGGC